UACGUAGGGUGCAAGCGUUAAUCGGAAUUACUGGGCGUAAAGCGUGCGCAGGCGGUUUUGUAAGUCUGUCGUGAAAGCCCCGGGCUCAACCUGGGAAUUGCGAUGGAGACUGCAAGGCUUGAAUCUGGCAGAGGGGGGUAGAAUUCCACGUGUAGCAGUGAAAUGCGUAGAGAUGUGGAGGAACACCGAUGGCGAAGGCAGCCCCCUGGGCUAACACUGACGCUCAUGCACGAAAGCGUGGGGAGCAAACGGG
rnacentral:rRNA from 1 species